UACAGAGGUGGCAAGCGUUGUUCGGAAUUACUGGGCGUAAAGGGCGCGUAGGCGGUCUUGUAAGUCUUGUGUGAAAUCCCUCGGCUUAACUGAGGAACUGCACGGGAUACUGCGAGACUUGAGAUCGGGAGAGGGAAGCGGAAUUCCGGGUGUAGCGGUGAAAUGCGUAGAUAUCUGGAGGAACACCGGUGGCGAAGGCGGCAUCCUGGACCGGUAUUGACGCUGAGGCGCGAAAGCCAGGGGAGCAAACGGG
rnacentral:rRNA from 1 species